UCGGAUGUGGUGCACGGUACACACCCGCUUCUCUUUGUAAAACAGUUUGUCUUUGUUGAGGUGGGAGCGCUGGGUUCGACUCCCAGCGUCCGAA